rnacentral:rRNA from 1 species
UACAGAGGUCUCAAGCGUUGUUCGGAUUCAUUGGGCGUAAAGGGUGCGUAGGUGGUGAUGCAAGUCUGGUGUGAAAUCUCGGAGCUCAACUCCGAAAUUGCACCGGAUACUGCGUGACUCGAGGACUGUAGAGGAGAUCGGAAUUCACGGUGUAGCAGUGAAAUGCGUAGAUAUCGUGAGGAAGACCAGUUGCGAAGGCGGAUCUCUGGGCAGUUCCCGACACUGAGGCACGAAGGCCAGGGGAGCAAACGGG